AAGAGUCCAAUAACAUAAGAAAUCAGACAUUGGUUAAAUAAAUUAACCCAAGGUUACAAGGAUAAUUAAAUUAAAAUAACCAAACGUACCGAGAAAAACUGGGGCGUUACAACUCUCCCCCACUAAGAACGGACUUCGUCCUCGAAGUCAACACCUAGAAACAGAUCCGGAUAAUGAGCCCGCAUCUCGCAUUCUGGUUCCCAAGUCCAUUCUGAACCCUUCCUAUGUUGCCACUUCACCUUAANCCGGUUCCCAAGUCCAUUCCGAACCCUUCCUAUGUUGCCAUUGCACCUUAACCAGGUUUAUAGUCUUGUUGCGGAGAGCUUUCGUCUUUCGUUCUAAAAUAGCGAUUGGUUUCUCAACAUAAU
rnacentral:lncRNA from 1 species